GUGCCAACAUUGCCUCUGGUGAAGAAGUUGUUAUCAAGCUCUAGUGUGUGAAAACAAAGCACCCCCCAGCUGCAUAUUGAGAGCAAGUUCUACAAGAUGAUGCCAAGAGGAAAGGGGAUCCUGUUCAUCAAGUGGUGUGGAGCCGAGGGCAACUACAACGUGAUGGUCAUGGAGCUGCUAGGGCCCAGCCUCAAGGACCUCUUCAAUUUUUGUUCCCAAAAGCUCAGCCUCAGGAGGGUGCUGCUCCUGGCCAACCAGAUGAUCAGCCACAUAGAGUACAUGCACUCCAAGAACUGCAUCGACCAGGAUGUAAAGCCUGACAACUUCCUCAUGGGGCUAGGGAAGAAGGGCAACCUGGUGUACAUCAUCACCUUUGGCCUGGCCAAGAAGUACCAGGAUAUCCACACCCACCAGCACAUCCUCUAUCAGGAAAACAAGAACCUGAUUGGCACUGGCUGCUAUCAUGCCAUCAACACCCACCUGGGCAUUGAGCAAAGCCAUUGAGAUGACAUGGAGUCU